GUUUUAGAAUAUUUCAAAAAUAACAAUAAUAUUAGGGUUAAUGUAAUUAUGUGGCGCCUAAUUCUCAAUUUCCCCUCCUUUCCUCUCUUUUCUCUUGUUCCCGUUUUUCCUAGCCUGAAACCUAGCUACAACCACGAUUUGAAGGGAUUUCUGGUAUUGUCACCGCCGACCGAGCCUCAAAUGCCGCAGUAAGACGCCGAUGGAACAUUGCAUGUAGUUAUCCAUCUCCUUUCAUUGAGUUGCAGGAUAUUGAAAUAUUCAGUAUAUCAGAUUAGAAAUUUUAAGCAAACCAACAUAAAAUGUGAUGGGGGAGAAGAGUAUCCUGCAAAAUGGGCUAGCCAAUAUGGUAAUGCCUGGAGAACUAUAGGGGACAUCAAAGACAGCUGGGAAAGUGUCACAUUAAUUGCAGAGGAAAACAACAUUUGGGGAAGAUAUGCAGGACCUGGGAGGUGCAAUGGAACUAUUGUUGCUGGAAGCUAACAGAGCUUUACUAAUAAAGGCAAUUAUUUAUGCAACUGAGAAAGGAUCAAGUUGCUUUUUGAGCUAUGCAAAUAGCACAACAGAUGGUACCACUGUGUUUCAAUACUUAGAAUACAAAAUUCAGCUAACAUGUUUAUUGAAUUAAUUUACGCGAUAUUAUAAAUAUAUUGAAGGUAUAUUAGGGUAUGUGGUGUUGAAUUGGAAUUUUUGAUUAUUA